rnacentral:rRNA from 1 species
GUCCUAGCCUUAAACGAUGCAUACUUGAUGUAGGUGGGCUCAACCCCAUCUGUAUCGUAGCUAACGCGAUAAGUAUGCCGCCUGGGGAGUACGCUCGCAAGGGUGAAACUCAAAAGAAUUGACGGGGGCCCGCACAAGCAGUGGAGCAUGUGGUUUAAUUCGAUGCAACGCGAAGAACCUUACCUGGGCUCGAAAUGUAAAGAACCGCACCAGAAAUGAUGCUUCUCGAAAGAGGCUUUAUAUAGGUGCUGCAUGGCUGUCGU